AGAAUGCUCAGGGGGAAUUCAGGGAUGAGAAAUUUGAUGGUUGCAGUUCUAUAGUCUUUAUCAGACCAUCAAGGCUGGAAUGGAAAGAUAGCAGUUAUCAUCUCCAAGAGUUCUGUCAUCUUGAUCAACCUUCAAGAGAAAAUCAUUGCAAGACAGCCUCUGGUGCUUGUUCACGUAUGAGUGAGAAUGAGAUGCAGCCAUCAAACAAGAGGCACAUUCCUUCAGACGUCUUCCAAAUGGCUCAAGGGAGCUGCUGCUGCUGCUGACCUACUGAACUACAUUCAAUCCAGAUGAGAAACUGGAGAACAUGGAGGUUUUGCAAUUUGAGCUGAGCCACGCGGGAGCUCUUUGGCAGAAGAGGCGGCCUGGCCUCCCGAGGGAGCUGAGCAACAGCUACACCAGGAGGGAACCCUGCACAGGAGACAAGGACUUCCAAAAUGCCAUCGGGGACUACCAGAAAGCACCUCAGCAAACACCCCAAAACACAGGAAGGAGCUGCAGAAAGCCAGUGUGAGGAUCCAAAGAACAACAUCCCAGGUGGCUGUUAAGCUAAUAGGGAGCAUCCUGCAAAUCUUCAGCAAUGAGCAUGGAAGGAAGAGUACAGGAAAAGACGGCAAGAAGAGAUUACUGCCUUCAUUAAAUCUUGAGAUGAAGCCACUCGCAGCAGCAGAGCAGGUGGGGCAGACGGCACUGGUGGAGCUCAGGCACCCGUGCAUGCUGCAGCUGCAGAGGAGGGGAGCCAUCCAUGCCAAGUGACAAGCCUACCUCAGUGUCCCCUGGCCAGCCCCACAGCUGCUGGAAAUCUGGGUCCCAGCUUCAGACAGCCGUCUGCCAUCCGCUUUGGCCAGACACCGAGACGCUGCGAGUUGGCUGGUGUUGCUGUCAUGAGCAAAGG